UGUCGUUGCAGUAUUAGGACAGAUCACUCCGGAUUAAGGGGUGAUCCGAAGUGGCUUCCGCGCAAGCGGAUACGUCGUGCAGUGCCGAAGCUCUGACGAGAGGGGUGCCCG
rnacentral:other from 1 species